AGCGACGUCAACAUCCUGCAGCGUCAGCAGCCGGUCAGACGGAGCAGAGAUGUGGAUUCAGUGUUUUCAGAAGUCACUUUCAGACGUUUCUCAAGAAAAUCGUCAAAGAGAAACGAAGCCGAGCGGAGAAGUCAGAGAUUCCUCCAGAGCCUGACGUGGUCUACUCUCCCUGAGGUGACCCCCCAGUCCAGACCCAUCCGGAUCCAGACCUCCACACUGCUGAGUUCUACUGAGUUCUACUGAGUUCA